GGGGAAUAUUGGACAAUGGGCGCAAGCCUGAUCCAGCAAUGCCGCGUGUGUGAAGAAGGUCUUCGGAUUGUAAAGCACUUUCGACGGGGACGAUGAUGACGGUACCCGUAGAAGAAGCCCCGGCUAACUUCGUGCCAGCAGCCGCGGUAAUACGAAGGGGGCUAGCGUUGCUCGGAAUGACUGGGCGUAAAGGGCGCGUAGGCGGCUUGUACAGUCAGAUGUGAAAUUCCCGGGCUUAACCUGGGGGCUGCAUUUGAUACGUGCGGGCUAGAGUGUGAAAGAGGGUCGUGGAAUUCCCAGUGUAGAGGUGAAAUUCGUAGAUAUUGGGAAGAACACCGGUGGCGAAGGCGGCGACCUGGUUCAUGACUGACGCUGAGGCGCGAAAGCGUGGGGAGCAAA
rnacentral:rRNA from 1 species